UAAAGCUCUUCUCCAUCUUGCUAAGCCUCCAUUUGUCCGCAAUACCUCAUCUCCCUGGACGCAGGACAAGAACUCAGGACCCGCCUGGAGGUGCCCACAGCAGAAUCCACAUGCCGUCCAUCUGGUCCAGCCUCACGCAGAGCCACAACUGUGCUGGCGCCUGGAGCUGCCAGCCCCACUGCAGCAGCCGGACUGACAUUCAGACGUGGAGCAAGUUGGACUGCAUAGGGACCCACCAGUGAGAUGGACGCUGUCUGUAAACGGGGAAAUUUAUGGAAAGAUGUCCUCCUGCAACUGCUGAAAAUGCAACAUGCUGCCCAGGUCCUGCUCAGACCACUGACAACUCAGAAGUUAAUACUCAGAGUGGAAAGGUGAGUAAAGGCUGUUUAAUGACCACCCCAUGAAAAGAGUCAGAAUUACAUCCCUCUUGAUUCCUGUUUCUUUCUGAACAACAUAAAUGUAAUGUAAGCCAAGCUAAUACAUGCUGUUUUGUGGUAUAUAAUGGGUUUUCUGUAGCCAGAUGUGGCGCUGAUUAUUAUUUUUUUUCUGCAAACCUGUGUUACUUUCAGCGUAGCAAAGUGUAGUACAUGAGCAAGCGUUUCAAGCCAGACGGAGUUAAUCAUCUCUGUCACUGAAUUGGAGCUCACGGUCUGCUGGACAACUGUGCUGAGUGGAAAGGAAGCCUCGAUGGCUAAGUCACUUGUCCAACCUCAGACACUGGCAGAUCCAGGAUUCAAACAGCUAGACUCCAAAUGUGUUUCCUUUAACCUCUUUUCUACCUUUUCAACUUGAUUCCACACAUCACCACUGGGAAAGCUUAGGUGAGUAAGUCAUGUGGGCUUUGGUUUUUUCAUCUGCACGAUGGAUAGACUGAGACCUUCUUCCCUCAUGCCUCUGAGGAUGACAUAAAAAACCCACAAAAUCCCUAGUCCACUUACUUGCUCACAGAUAUUUACUGAGUGAGCAUCUGAUUUCCAUCCCAUUGUCACCUUCUCCCUAGCUGUCCAGACACCCUGCUUGCCUGGCCAAUGCCACCAAAGAAUGGAACCUGCUUUUGUUCCACACUCCGUAGCCAGAAAAAAGAGACAGUUGUUCUGGCAUGUUAUUGUUUGAUUUUAUUUUACCUCAGGGAUUAAAAAAAAUGACUAUCAAUUAUAGCAACAUCAGGUAGAGGGUUUGGUAUACAUUUCCGAUGAGCUUAGAUUUCUCUCAAAUUCUCAUACUUUUAAGAUUUAUUUUUAAAUGUGAGCAUUGAAACUUAACCAAUCCUUUAGACUCUUACUCAACAAGGGAUUCUAAAGAACAUUUCUCAGUAGGAAUUAAUCAUUUAUUUUGAAACUACAUAUCUAAUUUGUCUACUAUGGGAAGGAUAUGGAAAGAGAAAACCCAAUUCUUUUUAUUUUUUGGAACAGCUGGGUCCCCAAACCACCAGCAGCUGCUUCACAAAUUGCCUAGCCAUUAAGUAAUUAUUUCCUCAUCAUAAGAGCAGCUGGAAGAGCUAGUCUCUCUCCCUCCCCAGUGCAACUCCCACUUCCUUCUGCCUCCUCCACCCUGUCCUGAAAUGGGCAGGCCAAGAGGUAUACGGUAUUGGUUUUCUUUACGUAAUUGAAGACUGGAAUUGAGCACUCUGAUAGCUGAUUAUUUUUCA
rnacentral:lncRNA from 1 species